AGGAAUAUUGGUCAAUGGACGCAAGUCUGAACCAGCCAUGCCGCGUGGAGGAUUAAGGCCCUCUGGGUUGUACACUCCUUUUAUCUGGGAAGAAAUGUACUUUUUCUUGAGUACUUGACGGUACCAGAGGAAUAAGCACCGGCUAACUCCGUGCCAGCAGCCGCGGUAAUACGGAGGGUGCAAGCGUUAUCCGGAUUCACUGGGUUUAAAGGGUGCGUAGGUGGGCAGGUAAGUCAGUGGUGAAAUCUCCGGGCUUAACCCGGAAACUGCCGUUGGUACUAUUUCUCUUGAAUAUUGUGGAGGUAAGCGGAAUAUGUCAUGUAGCGGUGAAAUGCUUAGAUAUGACAUAGAACACCAAUUGCGAAGGCAGCUUACUACACAAUCAUUGACGCUGAGGCACGAAAGCGUGGGGAUCAAACA
rnacentral:rRNA from 1 species